AUUGGACGCUGGCGGCAUGCCUUACACAUGCAAGUCGAACGGUAACGGGCCUUCGGGUGCCGACGAGUGGCGAACGGGUGAGUAAUACAUCGGAACGUGCCCGAUCGUGGGGGAUAACGAGGCGAAAGCUUUGCUAAUACCGCAUACGAUCUACGGAUGAAAGCAGGGGACCGCAAGGCCUUGCGCGGACGGAGCGGCCGAUGGCAGAUUAGGUAGUUUGUGGGAUAAAAGCUUACCAAGCCGACGAUCUGUAGCUGGUCUGAGAGGAUGAUCAGCCACACUGGGACUGAGACACGGCCCAGACUCCUACGGGAGGCAGCAGUGGGGAAUUUUGGACAAUGGGCGCAAGCCUGAUCCAGCCAUGCCGCGUGCAGGAUGAAGGCCUUCGGGUUGUAAACUGCUUUUGUACGGAACGAAAAGCCUUCUUUUAAUACAGGAGGGUCAUGACGGUACCGUAAGAAUAAGCACCGGCUAACUACGUG
rnacentral:rRNA from 1 species